AAUGAACGCUGGCGGCGUGGAUUAGGCAUGCAAGUCGAGCGAUCUAUUUUAUUGAAGUAGCUUGAAGCUUCGGCUGAUGGCUGCGGAUAUAAAACGGAUAGCGGCAAACGGGUGAGUAAUACGUGGGUAACGUACCUUAGGGAGGGGGACAGCCUCGAGAAAUCGGGAGUAAUACCCCAUUGUUCCUUGGACCUGCGAUGGUCUUAGGAUAAAGAUGGCCUAUCCUUGGAAGCUAUCGCCUUAAGAGCGGCCCGCGACUUAUCAGGUAGUUGGUAGGGUAAUGGCCUACCAAGCCAGUGACGGGUAGCUGGCCUGAGAGGGUGGUCAGCCACAUCGGGACUGAGACACUGCCCGGACUCCUACGGGAGGCUGCGGUCGAGAAUCUUUCACAAUGGACGAAAGUCUGAUGAUGCGACGUCGCGUGGGGGAUGAAGGUUUUCGGAUCGUAAACCCCUUUUAUUGAGGAGGAACGCUUAAAGGUGAAUAAUCUUUAAGUCUGACUGUACUCAAUGAAUAAGCCACGGCUAACUCCGUGCCAGCAGCCGCGGUAAUACGGAGGUGGCGAGCGUUAUUCGGUAUGACUUGGUGUAAAGGGUCCGCAGGCGGCCUAGUAAGUGAAAGGUGAAAUCCUUCGGCUUAACCGAAGAACUGCCUUUCAAACUGUUAGGCUUGAGGAUGGAAGAGGAGAGCGGAACUGUCGGUGUAAAGGUGAAAUUUGUGGAUAUCGACAGGAACGCCCGUGGAGAAGUCGGCUCUCUGGUCCAUUCCUGACGCUCAGGGACGAAAGCUAGGGUAGCGAACAGGAUUAGAUACCCUGGUAGUCCUAGCUGUAAACGAUGGGCACUAGGUGUCUGUUCUUUUAGAAUGGGUGCCGCAGUUAACACGUUAAGUGCCCCACCUGGGGACUACGGCCGCAAGGCUAAAACUCAAAGGAAUUGACGGGGGCCCGCACAAGCGGUGGAACACGUGGUUUAAUUCGAUGCUACGCGAGGAACCUUACCAGGGCUUGACAUGCAGGAAGUAGUAUCCCGAAAGGGAGUCCGAUCGGUAACCAGUCCGGAACCUGCACAGGUGCUGCAUGGUUGUCGUCAGCUCGUGCCGUGAGGUGUUUCCUUAAGUGGAAGAACGAGCGCAACCCUCGCCUUUAGUUGCUAACUAUGACUUUUAGUUAUGGUGCACUCUAAAGGGACUGCCCGCGUUAAGUGGGAGGAAGGCGGGGACGACGUCAAAUCCGCAUGGCCCUUAUGUCCUGGGCUACACACGUGUUACAAUGCUUACUACAAUGGGAGGCUAAGCCGUAAGGUGGAGCAAAUCCAUAAAAAGUAGGCUCAGUUCGGAUCGAGGGCUGCAAUUUGCCCUCGUGAAGCUGGAAUCGCUAGUAAUGGCGCAUCAGCAACGGCGCCGUGAAUACGUUCCCGGGCCUUGUACACACCGCCCGUCAAGCGCUGAAAGUAGGGGGCACCCGAAGCUCCGUUUUUCGGAGUCACGGUGAAUUUUAUGAUUGGCGCU
rnacentral:rRNA from 1 species